GAUGAACGCUGGCGGCGUGCCUAAUACAUGCAAGUCGAGCGAACGGACGAGAAGCUUGCUUCUCUGAUGUUAGCGGCGGACGGGUGAGUAACACGUGGAUAACCUACGUAUAAGACUGGGAUAACUUCGGGAAACCGGAGCUAAUACCGGAUAAUAUUUUGAACCGCAUGGUUCAAAAGUGAAAGACGGUCUUGCUGUCACUUAUAGAUGGAUAUACGCUGCAUUAGCUAGUUGGUACGGUAACGGGUUACCAAGGCAACGAUGCAUAACCGACCUGAGAGGGUCAACGGCCGCACUGGAAUUGAGACUCGGUCCAGACUCCUCCGGAACGCCGCAGUAGGGAAUCUUCCUCCAUUGGCGAAAGCCUGACGGAGCAACGCCGCGUGAGUAAUGAAGAUCUUCGGCUCUUAAAACUCUGUUAUUACCGAAGAACAUAUGUGUAAGUAACUGUGCACAUCUUGACGGUACCUCAUCAGAAAGCCACGGCUAACUCCGUG
rnacentral:rRNA from 1 species